rnacentral:rRNA from 1 species
GGCUAACGCUGGCGGCGUGUCUUAGCCAUGCAAGUCGAGCGGACUUAUGGGGUAACUUAUAAGUCAGCGGCGGACGGCGGAGUAACACGUAGCUAACCUACCCUCUGGACGGGGAUAACCUACCGAAAGGUGGGCUAAUACCCGAUGUAGUCAUCCUGUAUAGGGGUGAUGAAAGGUGGGCUUCUGUUUACAAGCUCAUGCUGGAGGAGGGGGCUGCGGCCUAUCAGGUAGUUGGUAGGGUAAUAGCCUACCAAGCCGAUGACGGGUAGCCGGCCUGAGAGGGUGACCGGCCCGAGGGGCACUGAGAUACGGGUCCCACUCCUACGGGAGGCAGCAGGCUAGAAAUUUGGGCAAUGGGGGAAACCCUGACCCAGUGACGCCGCGUGCAGGAAGAGCCCUUCGGGGUGUAAACUGCUGUCGUGUAGGGAGAAGGGUACUAAGGUGAACAAUCUUAGUACUUGACGGUACUACAGGAGGAAGCCCAGGCUAACCUCGUG